rnacentral:lncRNA from 1 species
UUUGAUCCAGAAGCUGUGCUCGAGCGCCGAAACGGGGGCAGCAAGCAGGCAGAGGUACGACCGCGGAGGCGGGUGGGUUGAGAUCGACAGCAGUGAUGGUUGAGGUCGGCCGCGGCGGCGAGUGGUGUGGCAGCGGCCUGGGCACAGGCCAGGGUGGACCAGGGUCGACGCGAUGCGCUCGAGCGCCGCAACGGGGGUAGUGAGCGGGGAG